rnacentral:rRNA from 1 species
CCUACGGGUGGCAGCAGUGAGGAAUAUUGGUCAAUGGGCGAGAGCCUGAACCAGCCAAGUCGCGUGAAGGAUGACGGCCCUACGGGUUGUAAACUUCUUUUGUCAGGGAGCAAUUGAGUCCACGUUUGGUCUUAGCGAGAGUACCUGAAGAAAAAGCAUAGGCUAACUCCGUGCCAGCAGCCGCGGUAAUACGGAGGAUGCGAGCGUUAUCCGGAUUUAUUGGGUUUAAUGGGUGCGUAGGCGGAAUAUCAAGUCAGCGGGAAAAAUUCGGGGCUCAACACCGUCGUGCCGUUGAAACCGAUGUUCUUGAGUGGGCGAGAAGUAUGCGGAAUGCGCGGUGUAGAGGUGAAAUGCAUAGAUAUCACGCAGAACUACGAUUGCGAAGGCAGCAUACCGGCGCUCAACUGACGCUCAUGCACGAAAGUGUGGGUAUCGAACAGGAUUAGAUACCCCAGUAGUC